UUCAGAAUAUACAUUAUACAAUAAUAUUAUCAAUAUUUUCAAAUUUUCUUAUUUUAAUACAUUUUCAUUUAUCUAAAUAUGGUAAUAAUAAUAAUGUAUAUAAUUUACAUAUACUGUUGUAACUAUUAACUAUUUUAACAUUUUUUUUUUGUCCUAAUGGGACUUUUUUUGUCCUAAUGGGACUUAACUAUAUAAUGCAGUCAUCAGUAUAUAUGGUCAUGGACUAGGUCUAGUCUAGUAAUGAAAAUUUUAGGAAAUGUGGUGAGAACCUGUAUUCAAUUUGCACUGCUAUCACCCUUAAAGAAAAGAGACAAAUUAGCUAACUUUUGCAAAUAGCUCAUUGAACAACAAUCUUGAGCAUUUGAAACUAUGUUUCCUUCAUUUUUGAAAUACUCUUGCCAAUACUAUAAAAUGAAUACUAAACGUUUAUGCUUGCCUGUCUUGGGGAGGGAAGUUCUUUGGGGUUUUCAAGUUGUUUGGAGAUUGUCACUUGAUGCAUUGGUUUAAUCAUUUUGCUGUUUUAAUCAAUAUGCACAUGUGCUUAGAUCUGAAGAGCAUAGUAUAAUGAACACCAAAAAUAACAAGCAGAAAAACCUCUGGGUCCUCUUCAAUUCCGAAAUAUAACGUAAUCUCUGAACCAAAUGAAAGUGUCCCUGGCCCAAUUUGUUCGAGGGAACAUGAUCAAUUUAUCUAUUCCCGAAGAGAAAUAAAGGGAAGGAAAAUGUAAAGGCAAUUGAAGCCUCAAAUAUAUUCAGAGAUGCUCUCAACAUGUCAAAUAAAUGUCACUUUCACCUGAGGAAAAGAACUUUAGAAAUAAAUGUUUCAGAGAUACACAGCAGUGUCUUUUUAGUGAAUGUUCUAAUGGAAAACAAAAUAUGUUUAAGCAUCUGGAAGUGAAUAAACUAUAGUUGAUCUAGUUUUUAAAGUUUUCAUUCAAAUGAUAUAUAUAAUUACUCUAAUGGUUAUGAUACCAAUUACCUUGUAUUAUAUGUUUGCCAAGUGGCAGGCAGAACAUUAAAAAUGUUACCCCACUGGGAUGUAAUGUGCAGCAUGGCAAUACAGAGAUCAUAAAAGGUCUCAUCAUAAGGAAAAAAAAGAAAAUUAAGAAAAAAAUUUCUAACUAUGUAUGGUGAUGGAUGUUAGGUAAACUUAUUGAAGAGAUCAUUUUGCCAUGUAGAUAAAUAUUAAGUAAUGAUGUUGUACACCUGAAAGUAAUAUUUUAUGUCAAUUAGACCUCAAUAAAAAUGAGAAAUUUUUAAAAAUGUUACUCAAUUUUAGUCCAUACAAGAAUCUUAGAGGCGAGGCACUUCUUAUUAUCUUUGUUUUUAAAAAUAAGCAAACGGAGGAUUAGAGAUUUUAAGCAAAAGAGAUAGAAUUAAACAAAAAACUGUCCAAUUAAGCUCUUUGGUUCUUUGCCAUUUUCAGAAAGCCUUUUGCAGUUCUAAUGUUGUGUGGUGUACGUGUGUGUGUUUGUGCAUGUGUAUGAACAUGUGUACACUUUUGUCUUAGCAAAAGACCCGGACACUUUAUUUUCAAGCCUUCGACAAUCCUCACCUUCCUCCUCCUCUCUACUUCACAUAUAUAACUUGCUCCUGCCAUAACCAAAUUUGGCAGGUCCUUAAACCUCCCUGUAUAUUUGCACCUUAAUUUUAUGUAUUAAUUCAUUUUUUCUGAUUACAAUAUUCUUUCAUUCCUCUUUUACCAUUACGGUAUUCCUUCAUCACUUUUCUCUACCUUUAUGACUAUUCCUAUCUUUAAUAAUUGGUCCAAUGAUCUUCUUUUCAUUAAAUCUUUCCUUGACUCUCCCAGUCUCUUCAUGGGGAUUCACUGGGUAUUUAGGACAUGUCCUAAAUGGGAUUUUCUUUACUGAACACCUGUGGAACUUCUAAUGGUACUGUUUUCAGUACCAUUGUUUGUUUGUUUUUUUUUUAAUUUCCAUAUCCACAUCAUCUGGCUAGUUCCAAAUGCAUAAAUAAAAAUAAAUAAAUUAUUUUCUCUCUUACUGCUUUACUGCAUUUCUCAACAGAAUAUUGAUUAGUUUAGGAGUUCCUGUCAUGGUGGAGCAGAAACAAAUCUGACUAGGAACCAUAAGGUUGCAGGUUCGAUCCCUGGCCUCAGCCAGUGAGUUAAGGAUCUGGGGCCCUGGCCAUAGCCAGUGAAUUAAGGAUCUGGUGUUGUUGUCAGCUGUAGGUUGCAGACGUAGCUCGGAUCCUAUGUGGCUGUGGCUGUGGUGUAGGCUGGCAGCUGUAGCUCCGAUUUGACCCCAGUCUAGGAAUCUCCUCCAUAAGCAUCAGGUGCGGCCCUAAAGAGAAAAAAAAAAAAAAAAAAGAUCAGUUUAAAGCAGAAAAUGAAAAGGGAAAUUUUUCUUACUAUUGCUAAUGAGAAUGCAUUAUGCUUGCCUUUCUCUUUUUAAAAACACUGAAUAUUCUGAGGCUGGCACACACUUUAAUCAACUGAAAUGUAAUUUUGAACUUAAUUCAAAAUUGCAUGAAUAGAGUGGUUUCCUUAUAUAUGACGAUUUGAAGACCCUCUAUUUUUCAUCUAGUCUUCAAUAUUCAUUGUCCUAAUUUUAGCAUAUUGAUAAGUUAGUUUUCCACUUUUAAGUAGAGUGGGAGGGAAUGAGUUCAGGAAAAAAAAAAGUAAUUAAAAAUAAAUUCAACAAUAAGAAAAUGACAAAUUCAAUUUAAAAAUGGACAAACAUCCUGAACAUAUACCACACCAGAGAAGAUAUUUACCUUGCCAAAAAAAAAAAAAAAAAGAAUAAGAAAAGAUGUCAUUAAGGCAUUGUAAUUUAAAACAAAUAAAAGCCACUAUACAAGUAUUAGAAUGGUCAAAAUUCAAAGCACUUACAACACCAAGUGCUGACCAAGAUUUGGAGCAAAAUGAACUUUUGUUCACCAGUGGUGAGAAUAGACAACAACUUUCAGCCAUUGUCAAAGAUAGUUUAGCAGUUUAUUAGAAAACUAAACCUACUCUAACCAUAUUAUCCAACAAUCCUUGUCCUUACCAUUUACCACACUGAGUUUAAAA
ensembl:lncRNA